rnacentral:rRNA from 1 species
CCUACGGGAGGCAGCAGUGAGGAAUCUUGCGCAAUGGGCGAAAGCCUGACGCAGCCACGCCGCGUGCCGGAUGAAGGCCCUAUGGGUUGUAAACGGCUUUUACUAGGGAAGAACGAGAGGGUUUUGAUCUUCUGUGACGGUACCUAGUGAAUAAGCACCGGCUAACUCCGUGCCAGCAGCCGCGGUAAUACGGAGGGUGCAAGCGUUGUCCGGAAUCAUUGGGUGUAAAGGGUACGUAGGCGGGAGCCUAAGUCUGGGGUGAAAUCUUGCCGCUUAACGGUAAAAUGGCCUUGGAUACUGGGUUUCUUGAGUGCAGAAGAGGCAGGUGGAAUUCGUGGUGUAGCGGUGAAAUGCUUAGAUAUCACGAAGAACAUCAGUGGCGAAGGCGGCCUGCUGGUCUGCAACUGACGCUGAGGUACGAAAGCGUGGGGAGCGAACAGGAUUAGAUACCCUGGUAGUCCACGCCGUAAACGAUGCAUACUAGGUGUUGGCCUUAGGGCCAGUGCUGCAGUUAACGCAUUAAGUAUGCCACCUGGGGAGUACGUCGGCAACGAUGAAACUCAAAGGAAUUGACCGG